GGCAUUAGGUUAUGGGGCUUAGGAAAUGUUUAAGGUUUUUGGCGUUAGGGUUAAAAUCACUGUCCAAAAACCUUUGUAGGAACUCUUUUCCAACCUUUUGGAGUUAGGUAGACCAAAAAAAAAAGUAAAAUUAAAAAAAAAUAUUUGGGGUGUUCAGGCUUCCUGAAGGUAAUACCCGGGUAUCAGGUAAUGGGGCUAUGGUAAGGUUUAAGGUUUUUGGCGUUAGGGUGAAAAUCACUGUCCAAAACCUUUGUAGGAACUCUUUUCCAACCUUUUGGAGUCAGUUCGACCAAAAAAAAAGAAAAAUGAAAAAAAAAAAAUAUUUGGGGUUUUCAGGCUUCCUGGAGGUAAUACCCUAAUAUUAGGUUAAGGGGCUAUGGUAAAGUUUAAGGUUUUUGGCGAUAGGGUUAAACUAACUGUCCAAAACCUUUUUAGGAACAUGUUUCAGACCUUUUGGAGUUGGUUACACACAAAAAAAAUGUAAAAUGAAAAAAAAAAAUUUGGCGUGUUCGGGCUUCCUGAAGGUAUUAGGUUAUGGGGCUAUGGUAAGGGUUCAGUUUUUUGGCGUUAGGGUUAAAAUUAUUGUCCAAAACCUUUGUAGGAACUCUUUUCCAACCUUUUGGAGUUAGGUAGACCAAAAAAAAAAGAAAAAAGAAAAAAAAAAUAUUUGGGGUUUUCGGGCUUCCUGAAGGUAAUACCCGGGUAUUAGGUUUUGGGGCUAGGGUAAGGUUUGAGGUUUUUGGCGUUAGGGUUAAAAUCACUGUCCAAAACCUUUUUAGGAACAUGUUUCAGGCAUUUUGCAGUUGGUUAAACCAAAAAAAAAAAGUAAAAUGAAAAAAAAAUAUUUGGGGUGUUCGGGCUUCCUGAAGGUAAUAACCGGGUAUUAGGUUAUGGGGCUAUGGUAAGGUUUAAGGUUUUUGACGUUAGGGUGAAAAUAACUGUCCAAAACCUUUGUAGGAACUCUUUUCCAACCUUUUUGUUACGACCAGCUCGUUUAAGGGAGAAGGGAAGCAACAUAAAACCGACCAGAUGUUAAAUGAUCAAAUCAAGUUAUUUAUUAACAAAAGUAAAAUUGGCAGUAACAACAAAAAGAGAGGCAACAAAGGCCUUAAAGGAAACUUAACAGGUUGCCAAAAACACAGGGAGACUCUAACCUAGAGUUAGUUACCAGUAAAAUAAACAGAUCUGCUCACAAUCGGCAAGAAACAAACUAAAACACAACUCUCAGCCCUAAUGCUGGAUACAAAAGAAAGCAGGUAGGCGUGUGCAAACCAAAAUGCCUCACAAGCUAUGAAAAAGUCCUUAUUCACAAUUACUAAGACAAUCAGUCUGAGGAAGAGGCAUGGGAGCUCCACUGGUUACAGCGUGCUCCCUGAUCUGCAGGUCCGCUGGAGUUUUAUCCACUCCCCCCAAGUGGCUCCUCUCAAUUGGCAGAAGCCCUCAGCCAGUCAGUGUUUGCAGUUUCCAGGUGGAGGUGAUCAGGCACUUAAUUGAUCCGCAGCCACGGCAACCUGUGAACUGCAGGCAGCAUGCACACACAGGCACUCUCACACCCGCACACACACACACACACAGAGAGAGAGAGAGAGAGAGAGGAAGACCCAAGACUCGCCACUCUAAGGCGGCGGCCGUAACACCCCUCCCCUUAAGAGGCAAACCCUCCUAAGGAGGUUUGUCAUGAGCAAAAAAAAAAAACCACACAGUCAACAUUACAUUCUGGACAACGCAUCUCCUACCACAUUGUCGGACCCCUUUUUGUGCUGGAUCUCCACAUUGUAAUCCUGCAUGACCAGUGCCCACCGCAUAAGCCUUUGGUUGUGGUUAUACAUACGAUGCAGAAAGACGAGUGGGUUGUGGUCAGUGAAGACCACCACUGGCAGAGGACUGGAACCUACGUAUACUUCAAAGUGUUGAAGUGACCAUAACAAAGCAAGGGUUUCUUUUUCUAUGAUUGAGUAGUUCACCUGAUGCUUGUUAAAUUUGCGGGAAAAAUAUCCUACUGGGUGGUCAACUUCAUCACUAUCCUCCUGCAACAGGACAGCCCCGACACCUACUGCAGAGGCAUCUACCUCAAGUUUGAACGGCUGGGAGAAGUCAGGAGCUGCAAGGACAGGGGCGUGGCUAAGGAGGGACUUUGCGCUGUCAAACGCAUGCUGACAGGCAGGGGACCAAUCAAAGUCGACUUUGGGACUAGUUAGAGAAGUCAACGGCUGAACAACGGAGGAGAAGUUGCGGCAGAAGCUACGGUAGUAGCCCGCCAUGCCCAGAAAACGACGGAGCGCCUUGCGGGUGGUUGGGACCGGAAACUCUGCUAUGGCAGUUACCUUGGCGUCGAGAGGCUUAACUUGACCCUGCCCAACCUGUCGUCCUAAAUAGGUGACGGUGGCCUUACCGAAAUCACACUUGGCGAGAUUUAGCGUUAGGGUCGCGUGCGCAAGACGAGUGAACACCUGUUCGAGGAUGCGGAGGUGCUCCUGCCACGUCACUGUGUAAACAAUUAAGUCAUCCAAGUACGCGUUACAGUUUGGCAGCCCGGCCAAGACGGUAUUAACGAGCCGCUGGAAGGUGGCCGGGGCGUUACACAUGCCAAACGCCAUGACGGUGUACUGCAAGAAACAGUCAGGAGUCACAAACGCGGAGAUCUCAGAUGCGCGCUCCGUUAACGGGACUUGCCAGUAUCCUUUCAAUAGGUCCAGCUUGCUGACGUACUUAGCGCUGCCAAGCGUGUCGACACAAUCUUCCAUUCUAGGAAGAGGAACGAGUCUUUGACAGUUACUGAAUUUACCUUUCACAGAUCUGUGAUAAAACGAGGGGUACCGUCUGAUUUUUUCUCAAACAAACAUGGAGAGCUCCAAGCGCUGGAGCUUGGCACAGCUAAACCGUGUUUUAACAAAUAAUCUGUUUCUUUUUUCAUGAGCUGGCGCUUCACGGGGUUGAGUCUGUACGGAUGCUGUCGGAUGGGCUUUGCUCCGUUGACAUCUAUGUCAUGUUGCAGAACAGUAGUGCGAGUUGGAACGUCGCCGAAAAGACACUUAAAAUUAUUGAUCAAAGCAAUUAGGUCACUUUGUUGCGCGCGGGUCAAAUGACUUAGCUGGGACGAUAAUGUUUUCAGUGACUCCGAAUUCGGCAGUCGCGCUGUUUGAUGCGAUGAGGUACACGUCUGUAAAUCAUCCUCAUCAGCAAUGGUAGGAGACUCAGUGACAAUCAGCGCAUUGACAGCGAUAGUAUUAGCUUUUGGGGGAACCACUGGUGGAGUGACAGCUGGGUUCGGUUCACGUGUGAAGUAAGGUUUGAGCAUGUUUAUGUGACAAACACGACUUUUACGCCUUCUCUCCGGGGUAGCAAUAACAUAGUUGAGGUCACUGAGGCAUUCACGGACCUCAUAGGGACCGGUAAAUUUAGCAGAGAGAGAAGAACCAGGGAUCGGCAGAAAGGCCAGCACUUUGUCACCAACAUCAAAUCGGCGGGGGACGGCAGAUCGGUCAUAACGACGUUUCAUCACAGCCUGGGAGGACAAAAGACACUCUUUAGCGAGCGAGUUUGCACGGUGUAAACGCUCGCGGAAUUUACUCACAAAAUCAAGUACGUUCUCUUCACGUGAGACUUCAGAGGACAGGAAUUUUUCUUGCAGAGAUUUAAGCGGACCGCGGAGUGUGUGGCCAAAUACGAGCUCUGCGGGGCUCAAACCUAAGGAUUCCUGGACAGCGUCACGAGCGGCGAACAACACGAAAGGAACCCCUUCAUCCCAACUUUUACCUGUCUCGAGGGAGUAUUUACGCAGCAUGGAUUUUAAUGUCUGAUGCCAACGUUCUAACGCUCCCUGGGAUUCAGGAUGAUACGCGCUGGACACGGAGUGUUGGACACUGAGCGUUUUAAGGACUUGUCUGAACAACCGAGACUGGAAGUUUGUACCUUGAUCGGUCUGGAUAACACGAGGGAGGCCAAACGUGGAGAAAAACUUUGUCAGGGCUUUGACAACAGAGCUGGACGUAAUUUUACGCAGCGGGACGGCUUCCGGAUAGCGGGUGGCAGCACACAUAAUGGUGAGUAGGUACUGAUUACCUGUUUUAGAGCGGGGCAAUGGGCCUACACAGUCUAAGAUUACACGCUCAAAGGGCUCACCUAUGGUAGGAAAAGGAUGGAGUGGAGCAGGUGGGAUGGUUUGGUUUGGUUUACCCGCUAGUUGACACACAUGACAAGAGCGACAGAAUUUGGCUACAUCAGAUUUUAACCCAGGCCAGAAGAAAUGCUUGAGGAUGAGGUUGUAGGUCUUAUUCACCCCCAAAUGACCUGACCAUUUGCUCUCGUGGGCAACUGACAAUACAUGCUGCCGGUAUACAAAAGGCACUACAACUUGUAAAGCACUAUAUUCGCAAUCAGACACUGCAGGAGUCCAUUUACGCACCAGGAUGUCUUUAUUCAUUAGGUAAGAUACUGUUUCACCACUUGCUUUGUCGGCACUCACCACACUUUUGAAGCAACGUGCCAGAGUCGGGUCAGCCCUCUGCGCAGCGGCGAGACGUUCACUGCCCACCGGCAGCGUCGGACUGUCCGACGGCGCCGAACUCAGAUUCGCAGAACGCACGGGCUCGGCACUUUCUGACCGCAGAGAUGUGGGAGCUUUCUCCUUCACAACUUCCACAUCUGAAAAAGCAGACAUUAGCACAGUAUCCGACAGUGAGAAUUCAUCCAGUUUACGAGAUUGCGCACGAGUUACAGCACAAGAUGGAAACGGUUUCUGAGCAGUUUCUGUUUCAUUUUCUAUAUCAGGGCUCUGCGGAGAGUCAGACACCUCUAGUGCAGGGGUUACCUGGCCACCAGCGAUGUCGUUGCACAUAAGUAGAACUACUCCUUUUAUAGGCAGAGCGGGACAAACAGCCACAGGAAAAACACCACUUAUCAACCGGGACUUAAUGUGGACUGUAUGCACCGGUUGUGGGACAUAACCCAUCUCAAUACCUUGCAAGGCAACAGUAUAACCACAAAAAGACUUUUCAGAAAAUGGCAAUGCACUAGCCAGUAUAACGGAUUGAGAGCCACCGGUGUCCCUCAAAAUGCGUACUGGGCACUGAUCAGCAGUCUUACCUGUCAGAGAUACAUACCCGUCGAAUAUGAACGGCUCAAAACAUGGAUCUGGGCAAACAGAAGAAACAGCAUUAGAUACUACACGUUUCUCAGAUUUAAUGAGCCCAACGCCUUUAGGGGGCGAUCCGUUGCCAUUCUGUUUUUUCCUGUUUAAGGAGGGACAGUUUGCAAUGAGGUGUCCAGAUUUAUGACAAUAGUUACAGCUUCUUUCAUCCCUUCUGUGGAACACUCUGGCUUGUCCUCUCUGUGGUGCCGGAGCACGAGGCUUUUCAUAAGUAGACAAAAACACAGGUUUGUGGGUUAGCACAAAUUCAUCAGCCAGUACAGAGGCUGCAGAGAGAGAUGAAACUUUCUGUUCAUUUAGGUACACAACAAUGCGCUCUGGUAGACAUUUCUUAAAUUCUUCCAGAAGAAUUAGUUCACGGAGUGAACUGAAAUCAGCAGUUUUACUAGCGUUACACCAUUUAUCAAAAAGAGUUCCCUUUUCCCUUGCGAACUCCACAUACGUCUGUUCAGGGCCCCUUGUGUGGUUCCGAAAUUUUUGCCUGUAAGCUUCAGGGACUAAUUCAUAGGCACGUAAAAUAGACAUCUUUACCUUUUCAUAGUUCAGGCUCUCCGCUAAAGGUAGAGCAGCUACAGCUUCUUGUGCUUUACCAUGGAUCUUACAUUGGAGAAGUAGUGGCCACUCUUCAUAAGGCCACUGAAGUGCAGUCGCAAUGCGCUCAAAUGCCGGAAAAUAACUGUCAACUUCAGAGUCUCUGAAUGGUGGAACAAGAGAAAUAUGCUUACCAAUGUCAAAGGACUCUCGGGUAGAGCUGGUGGAAGGAGGUGACAUUAUUGCAUCUGCAGAUGCAUCCAGUGCCGGGGUUGCUUUCACCUGAGCUUCUAGCUCCAGCUGACGUAGUCGGACUGCUUUAUCAGCCUCGAUCUCCAUUUUACGGAUCUCAAGCCUCAGCUUUGCUUGCCGGUUCUCGGCUCUCUCCUGAGCCUCCAUCUGGAUUCGUGCCAGCCUGACUUUCAGUCUGGCCUCACCCAGAGAAUCAGUGCUGCCUGAGAAAGGAGGAACAUAGCGAGGCAAGGUAAAGGGAGUUUUGGGCUGAGCAGACACUUUACUGAACUCCCUUUGUGCAGUGUAAUCAGCCGCAGUCUCAGAGCCAGGUGCGCACACAGGUGACUCAGGGAGCACCGGCAAAACAAUUACACCUAAUUCCACCAACUUACCUAUGACUAGAGAUUUUAAUUCUUUUUUCAGGAUUGAUUUGGCAAACAGGACAUUGAAGUGCACAGCUAUCUCGACCAAAUUAUCCUUUCUGCACUUAUUAAUUUGGUCAAGUGUCGGAUUUAACAAGAAGCUGUCAAGAUUGAAAGAUGCCAUUUUACCUACCUAAGCACACACACAAUAAUCUUACCUUUAUUAACAAUAACUUUUCGGAUUUCCGGGUCUCCUUUAACGGAUUAGGAUCCCGGACGAGCCCCCAUUUAUGUUACGACCAGCUCGUUUAAGGGAGAAGGGAAGCAACAUAAAACCGACCAGAUGUUAAAUGAUCAAAUCAAGUUAUUUAUUAACAAAAGUAAAAUUGGCAGUAACAACAAAAAGAGAGGCAACAAAGGCCUUAAAGGAAACUUAACAGGUUGCCAAAAACACAGGGAGACUCUAACCUAGAGUUAGUUACCAGUAAAAUAAACAGAUCUGCUCACAAUCGGCAAGAAACAAACUAAAACACAACUCUCAGCCCUAAUGCUGGAUACAAAAGAAAGCAGGUAGGCAUGUGCAAACCAAAAUGCCUCACAAGCUAUGAAAAAGUCCUUAUUCACAAUUACUAAGACAAUCAGUCUGAGGAAGAGGCAUGGGAGCUCCACUGGUUACAGCGUGCUCCCUGAUCUGCAGGUCCGUUGGAGUUUUAUCCACUCCCCCCAAGUGGC